UGUUUGGUCGUCUGCAAUCAUUUAGAACUAUGGUAAAUUAGAUUUUUCGUUUAUGCUCAAAUACAUAACAGUAUACUCUUAUUGUGUUAUCCAUCUGCAACAGCACUUUGUCUAGUGUUGACAACCAAAAUAUUUGAUAACUUAGUGUUUCAGAGCUAAAGAUCAGACUUUCUAACAAAAAAAUUGACUCAUUUUGGAUACCUGUUUCUUAAAAAUUUAAUUAAAUCCAUUAAGAUUCUCUACAUGUAAGACUGCUUUAUUUUGAUAUAAUAUAAACAACCUGAUGUCUAAUGACCAUUUUACCUCAGCUUGUACAUUUUGCAAUGCAUAAUUUGAUCUUUAGCAUUAAAUACAGCAUAAAAACCAU
rnacentral:misc_RNA from 1 species